AAGGGCUGAGUGGCAGUGGGGAGGGUUCCCUGGUUGGAGAUCUCUCAUUUGCAGAAUCUUUCCUGGGAGCCUAGAUCUUCAGAGACAGCAUGCAGAAAUCAGUGUUGGUACUCUCACUGCUAACAGUGCCUGACCUUAUAGCAUACAGCAGCAGAAACUGUCCGUGUGCUCCAGACACAGCUACCAGGAUACUGAAGACACUGAGUGACAAAACAUGAAUAUAACUGACUCCAUUCCCAUUUUGCUUGAGAAAACAUGUGUUAAUAAGGCAUCGUGGUUUUCUACUGUUCCUUACCUAAAAACAUUUCUCUUACGACUGCUGUGGAAGAUAAACAUUAAUCAUGUUCAGGGCGCACAGAGUCAGCAGCCAGUUGCCAAUGCCCAAACCAUUCAUGUGUUGUAGCCCUGACUGAUCCUGUGUGUGCCAAAAUGCUGGGCUUGUGUGGGGCUUAAUGCUUUCUCUGCUCCUGAUGUGCAUGUUCUAUGGACUGGGGAUGUCUGUCUUGGUUCUGAGGCCCACGCUGGAAUCCAUCAUUAAGAUCUUCACUGGGAAAUUGUGAAACACUGUGUACUGGUAGUGUACACAAAAAAAACCAUGGCAAAUUUUACCUUAGUGCAACUUGUUAAAAAUAAUUAAGCAACAAAAACAACCCUCCCCUCAACAAACAAUAAAAAUCUACACCAUCUAUAAAUCUAAGAGAAUAUGAUUCCUUGGAUGAGACCCAUGUGAAGGAUGAAACCAAUAUUUAGGAUCAAGAAACAGAUUGAGGCAAAGCUCCUUUCUCAGUGCUUAUUCGCUGCCCAAGCCGUGUGCGUUCCCCUGAGUGGACAGCAGUGGAUCCUAUUUCCAAGGCUCACGUCAACAUGGAGUUCUUAUCAAGCUGACCUGACCAUACUGUCAAAGCCCCACCGGUACGAUCUCUGUGACGUGCACCAAAAUGAGCAGGAUGGGAUGGAGCAGUGCAAGAGGAGGCUUUGGUCCUGCAGCUGGAGGUCAACCAAAUGCAGGCAGCACAACCAACCCCAGUUCAGUGUCUCUGUGUGCUUACGCCU